GGCUCUUGCAAUGGAGCAAGUCUGAUGGAGCAACGCCGCGUGAGUGAAGAAGGGUUUCGGCUCGUAAAGCUCUGUUGUUGGUGAAGAAGGACAGGGGUAGUAACUGACCUUUGUUUGACGGUAAUCAAUUAGAAAGUCACGGCUAACUACGUGCCAGCAGCCGCGGUAAUACA
rnacentral:rRNA from 1 species